GUGCUUGCUUCGGCAGCACAUAUACUAAAAUUGGAAUGAUACAGAGAAGAUUAGCAUGGCCCCUGCGCAAGGAAAAAAAAUUUUUUUUAAUUAAAAAAAUUUUUUUU